CGUUAGCGGCGGACGGGUGAGUAACACGUGGAUAACCUACCUAUAAGACUGGGAUAACUUCGGGAAACCGGAGCUAAUACCGGAUAAUAUAUUGAACCGCAUGGUUCAAUAGUGAAAGACGGUUUUGCUGUCACUUAUAGAUGGAUCCGCGCCGCAUUAGCUAGUUGGUAAGGUAACGGCUUACCAAGGCAACGAUGCGUAGCCGACCUGAGAGGGUGAUCGGCCACACUGGAACUUAUACACGGUCCAGACUCCUACGGGAGGCAGCAGUU
rnacentral:rRNA from 1 species